AAAGGCCCGCCAAAGACGGUAACAGCCCGGUAGUUGAAAUGGCUUUCCCUCCAGAGUGGAUCCUGAGUACGGCGGAACACGUGAAAUUCCGUCGGAAUCCGGGAGGACCAUCUCCCAAGGCUAAAUACUCCCUAGUGACCGAUAGUGAACCAGUACCGUGAGGGAAAGGUGAAAAGCACCCCGGAAGGGGAGUGAAACAGUUCCUGAAACCGUGUGCCUACAAGUAGUUAGAGCCCGUUAAUGGGUGAUAGCGUGCCUUUUGUAGAAUGAACCGGCGAGUUACGAUUUGUUGCAAGGUUAAGCGGAAAAAGCGGAGCCGUAGCGAAAGCGAGUCUGAAUAGGGCGCAUAAGUAACAGGUCGUAGACCCGAAACCAGGUGAUCUACCCAUGUCCAGGAUGAAGGUAAGGUAAUACUUACUGGAGGUCCGAACCCACGCACGUUGAAAAGUGCGGGGAUGAGGUGUGGGUAGCGGAGAAAUUCCAAUCGAACUUGGAGAUAGCUGGUUCUCUCCGAAAUAGCUUUAGGGCUAGCCUCGAGGUAAAGAGUCAUGGAGGUAGAGCACUGUUUGGACUAGGGGCCCUUCUCGGGUUACCGAAUUCAGAUAAACUCCGAAUGCCAUGUACUUAUACUCGGGAGUCAGACUGCGAGUGAUAAGAUCCGUAGUCGAAAGGGAAACAGCCCAGACCACCAGUUAAGGUCCCCAAAUAUAUGUUAAGUGGAAAAGGAUGUGGGGUUGCUUAGACAACCAGGAUGUUGGCUUAGAAGCAGCCACCAUUGAAAGAGUGCGUAAUAGCUCACUGGUCGAGUGACCCCGCGCCGAAAAUGUACCGGGGCUAAACAUAUUACCGAAACUGUGGAUGAACCUCUUUAGAGGUUCGUGGUAGGAGAGCGUUCUAAGGGCGGUGAAGUCAGACCGGAAGGACUGGUGGAGCGCUUAGAAGUGAGAAUGCCGGUAUGAGUAGCGAAAGAAGGGUGAGAAUCCCUUCCACCGAAUAUCUAAGGUUUCCUGAGGAAGGCUCGUCCGCUCAGGGUUAGUCGGGACCUAAGCCGAGGCCGAUAGGCGUAGGCGAUGGACAACAGGUAGAGAUUCCUGUACCAGUGCUAAUUGUUUAACCGAUGGGGUGACACAGAAGGAUAGGGAAUCGCACGAAUGGAAAUGUGCGUCCAAGCAGUGAGUGUGAGAAGUAGGCAAAUCCGCUUCUCGCGAAGCAUGAGCUGUGAUGGGGAAGGAAAUUAAGUACGGAAGUUCCUGAUUUCACGCUGUCAAGAAAAGCCUCUAGGAAGAGUAGUACUGCCCGUACCGCAAACCGACACAGGUAGAUGAGGAGAGAAUCCUAAGGUGAGCGAGAGAACUCUCGUUAAGGAACUCGGCAAAAUGACCCCGUAACUUCGGGAGAAGGGGUGCUCUAUUAGGGUGCAAGCCCGAGAGAGCCGCAGUGAAUAGGCCCAGGCGACUGUUUAGCAAAAACACAGGUCUCUGCAAAACCGUAAGGUGACGUAUAGGGGCUGACGCCUGCCCGGUGCUGGAAGGUUAAGAGGAGUGCUUAGCUUCGGCGAAGGUACGAAUUGAAGCCCCAGUAAACGGCGGCCGUAACUAUAACGGUCCUAAGGUAGCGAAAUUCCUUGUCGGGUAAGUUCCGACCCGCACGAAAGGCGCAACGAUCUGGGCACUGUCUCAACGAGAGACUCGGUGAAAUUAUAGUACCUGUGAAGAUGCAGGUUACCCGCGACAGGACGGAAAGACCCCGUGGAGCUUUACUGCAACCUGAUAUGGAAUGUUUGUACCGCUUGUACAGGAUAGGUAGGAGCCGAAGAGACGUGUGCGCUAGCAUACGAGGAGGCAAUGGUGGGAUACUACCCUGGCUGUAUGACCAUUCUAACCCGCCACGCUUAGCGCGUGGGGAGACAGUGUCAGGUGGGCAGUUUGACUGGGGCGGUCGCCUCCUAAAGAGUAACGGAGGCGCCCAAAGGUUCCCUCAGAAUGGAUGGAAAUCAUUCGCAGAGUGUAAAGGCACAAGGGAGCUUGACUGCGAGACUGACAAGUCGAGCAGGGACGAAAGUCGGGCUUAGUGAUCCGGUGGUUCCGCAUGGAAGGGCCAUCGCUCAACGGAUAAAAGCUACCCCGGGGAUAACAGGCUUAUCUCCCCCAAGAGUCCACAUCGACGGGGAGGUUUGGCACCUCGAUGUCGGCUCGUCGCAUCCUGGGGCUGUAGUCGGUCCCAAGGGUUGGGCUGUUCGCCCAUUAAAGCGGCACGCGAGCUGGGUUCAGAACGUCGUGAGACAGUUCGGUCCCUAUCCGUCGCGGGCGCAGGAAAUUUGAGAGGAGCUGUCCUUAGUACGAGAGGACCGGGAUGGACACACCGCUGGUGUACCAGUUGUUCCGCCAGGAGCAUCGCUGGGUAGCUAUGUGUGGCAGGGAUAAACGCUGAAAGCAUCUAAGCGUGAAGCCCCCCUCAAGAUGAGAUUUCCCAUUUCUUCGGAAAGUAAGAUCCCUGAAAGAUGAUCAGGUAGAUAGGUUUGGAGUGGAAGUGUAGCGAUACAUGGAGCGGACAAAUACUAAUCGAUCGAGGACUUAACCAAAA
rnacentral:rRNA from 1 species